UACGGAGGGGGCUAGCGUUGUUCGGAAUUACUGGGCGUAAAGGGCUUGUAGGUGGCCAACUAAGUCAGACGUGAAAUCCCUCGGCUUAACCGGGGAACCGCGUCUGAUACUGGAUGGCUGGAGUGUGGGAGAGGGAUGCGGAAUUCCAGGUGUAGCGGUGAAAUGCGUAGAUAUCUGGAGGAACACCGGUGGCGAAGGCGGCAUCCUGGACCAUUACUGACACUGAAAAGCGAAAGCCAGGGGAGCAAACGGG
rnacentral:rRNA from 1 species